rnacentral:lncRNA from 1 species
ACCCCAUCUCCUUCUUCCCCAACCCCCUCACAGUUGGAGCAUAAUUUCGAUGACUUCCGACCACCUAGACCACCGAAUAUUGGUACCAUCGGAAAGCCCUUGACCUCCUCUUCAAUUAACACCGAUCAUCUCAAAAUGUGAGGGGGUUGGGGAAGAAGGAGAAGAAGAAAUAGCCGGAGUUGACCCAGUUCGUACCUGUGGACGAAGCGAUAUUAAAUCCGGGUCAAGAUCCUACCUUGCUUGAUCCGGUGGCGUCAAAGAACAAACAACAGAACCCUUUUCCUUGUUUUCUUUCUGCUCGAUCGAUUGCUUCAAAAGAAUCGAAAUGUGCUUUGGAGUCGGCCGGCUCAAAACAAGCAUAUGGCCAUGAAUUCGCGAGUUUUUGCUUGGAUUCGCAAAAGAAGUACCCAAAGAAGAGAACGAUUUAGCUGAAGAAUUGUUGUUACUUGUUUGAUUAUUGUUAUUAUUAAGCUUUUUAUCGUAUAUGUCAUUGAAGUUGAGGGAGGUGUAUUUAUUGCUUCUUGCCAUCCACCUGUUUCACCGCCGAGAGCCACCGUUACGAGGAGAGUUUUUUUCUUUUUUCUGGGUUGGUUUAAAGUUUUGACUUUUUUGAUAUGUUUGAAACAUUUCC